CCCUGUCUUGACCGCUUCGCACGGUAGGCUUGUACACAUCAAUCGUCUCGUAUCUCCGUUCCAUUCACACGCGAGUCUAUUAUCGCACGUCGAGAGCGCUUGCUAGCACGAAAAGUGACGAAAAAACAAAAGCAAAAACGCACGAGAGCGGCACCCUAUCGACAGCAAGGAGAACAAAGACAUACAAGUGGCACCACCUGCGACCAUGCCCGCGCACUUUCCACCCAACAUUCAUUUUCUCGAGGAGGUCACCUCCACGAUGGAUGUGGCCCGCACGAUGAGGGCGACCGCUGGUGGGAAGGCGUUUGCUGUCGUCGCGGCCGAGCAGACAGCCGGUCGUGGCACAGGCGGUCGCACGUGGACCUCGCCGAAGGGGAACCUCUACAUGACUUUUGGUGUACCUCAGCUGGGCCAACCACCAUGCCUCAAGGAGGAGCUAGUGCCCGUGUUGCCGCUCAUCUGCGGUCUUGCGUGCCGCCGCGCUGUGCUGGAGGUGCUUCAUCUGGAUAGGGUGUCGGCCAAGGCUUCGGUUGCUGCGGAUGCGGCCAAGGCCGUGUCGACCAAGUGGCCGAACGACAUCAUCUACAAUCACAAGAAGAUCGGCGGCACCCUAAUCGAGAACGAUGGGGACUACUUUAUCAUUGGCAUUGGUAUGAACAUCGCCGUGGCACCGCAGAUGACGGACGCUGGCCGAGAGGCAACGAUGAUCAACGCCAUUGCGGAGGAUUUCGGCGUCAAGUCGUGCACUCCGCGGGACCUCGCGAACGCGAUCUGGUGCCACUUCUUCGACAUCUGCACCUCGCCAGAGUGGACGCGCGAGUCGGUGAUUGAGAGUUUCGACAAGGUGAUGGAUAAGUCCUUGAAGCUGCACAAGCGGCUGCCGGGCGGCCGCGAUCCGGAGGAGCUGACGGCGGUUUCGCUGAACAGCUGGGGCCAUUUGAAGGUUCGCCACACCGACGGAACAUUAGAGGACUUGUCCGCGGAAUACCUGUUUUGAGCAGGUGCUGCGGGUACGGGGAUGGGCCGAGGAGCUGGUGAACGACAUCGACAGCUCGUCAGACGGUUAGCAUGCUGGCGUCUCUGACGUCUGUGACCGAUGUAGCAGUACGAGCUCCCGCUGCGAGCGGCUCCUCCUCGCCUGUGCCCGUCACGCUUUCCCACCAAGGUGUGAGGCACUCGGUGCAGCCCCAGAACUUGGAUAGUGAAGGGAGGACACGCUGCGGCAUGCAUGGUGCAGCAGACUCAAAAGUACGCGCCGGAGCACCACAACAAGCGCUAUAGAGUGCUCCACCUUCCUGUGCAUUCCCUUUGAAGCGCUGCGCCCUUCCAUUCGUGACGAGGAGCACCUCACUGCCGUGAGCGACAUCCAGGGCCCUCAGCAAACGUGGAUAAACACUUCUACUCGGAGUUCCUCGCUUGAGCGCUAGGUGACAACGAGCAGAACGCACAAGGAAAAAACCUAAGGUGGCAAAGGAGUUAGCUAAACUCUCAUCACGGGCACUUGAGCAGCACGUGCGUAUCCAGUAAUCAUGUCGCCUUGCAAUGUGCUCCUCGCUAGACGUGGCUGAGACUAGCCUUUUUUCGCAUUUUUCAACGCCUCCAUUGCGCCUCU
rnacentral:misc_RNA from 1 species